UACGUAGGGGGCAAGCGUUGUCCGGAUUUAUUGGGCGUAAAGAGCGUGUAGGCGGCCAAGCAGGUCAGCUGUGAAAACUCGAGGCUCAACCUCGAGACGUCGGUUGAAACCGCUUGGCUAGAGUCCGGAAGAGGAGAGUGGAAUUCCCGGUGUAGCGGUGAAAUGCGCAGAUAUUAGGAAGAACACCGGUGGCGAAGGCGGCCCACUGGAUCGGUACUGACGCUGAGGUGCGAAAGCGUGGGGAGCAAACAGG
rnacentral:rRNA from 1 species